UGGCUGGAGUGCGGCGGAGGU
rnacentral:miRNA from 1 species